rnacentral:tRNA from 3 species
UGGGGAUUAGUCUAGUGGUAAGACGCCUGACUCUGGAUCAGGUAUCACAGGUUCGAAUCCUGUAUCCCCAGCCA